rnacentral:rRNA from 1 species
GACAGAGGGUGCAAGCGUUGUUCGGAAUUACUGGGCGUAAAGCGCGUGUAGGCGGCCCUGUAAGUCGGGUGUGAAAUCCCACGGCUCAACCGUGGAAGUGCAUUCGAAACUACAGGGCUAGAGCUCUGGAGAGGAAGGUGGAAUGCUUGGUGUAGAGGUGAAAUUCGUAGAUAUCAAGCGGAACACCGGUGGCGAAGGCGGCCUUCUGGACAGUAACUGACGCUGAGACGCGAAAGCGUGGGGAGCAAACAGG